UGGGGAAUUUUGGACAAUGGGCGCAAGCCUGAUCCAGCCAUGCCGCGUGCGGGAAGAAGGCCUUCGGGUUGUAAACCGCUUUUGUCAGGGAAGAAAUCUUCUGAGUUAAUACCUCGGGAGGAUGACGGUACCUGAAGAAUAAGCACCGGCUAACUACGUGCCAGCAGCCGCGGUAAUACGUAGGGUGCAAGCGUUAAUCGGAAUUACUGGGCGUAAAGCGUGCGCAGGCGGUUUUGUAAGACAGAGGUGAAAUCCCCGGGCUCAACCUGGGAACUGCCUUUGUGACUGCAAGGCUUGAGUGCGGCAGAGGGGGGAUGGAAUUCCGCGUGUAGCAGUGAAAUGCGUAGAUAUGCGGAGGAACACCGAUGGCGAAGGCAAUCCCCUGGGCCUGCACUGACGCUCAUGCACGAAAGCGUGGGGAGCAAACAGGAUUAGAUAGCCCUGGUAGUCCACGCCCUAAAACGAUGUCAACUGGUUGUUGGGAAGGUUCCUCCUCAGUAACGUAGCUAACGCGUGAAGUUGACCGCCUGGGGAGUACGGCCGCAAGGUUGAAACUUAAAGGAAUUGACGGGGGC
rnacentral:rRNA from 1 species